UCUGGGUCUAAUCAGAACUGCUAUAUCUAUGGUUCUGGGUCUAAUCAGAGCUGCUAUAUCUAUGGUUCUGGGUCUAAUCAGAGCUGCUAUAUCUAUGGUUCUGGGUCUAAUCAGAGCUGCUAUAUCUAUGGUUCUGGGUCUAAUCAGAGCUGCUAUAUCUAUGGUUCUGGGUAUAAUCAGAGCUGUAUCUAUGGUUCUGGGUCUAAUCAGAGCUAUAUAUAUGGUUCUGGGUAUAAUCAGAACUGCUAUAUCUAUGGUUCUGGGUCUAAUCAGAGCUGCUAGAUCUAUGGUUCUGGGUCUAAUCAGAGCUGCUAUAUCUAUGGUUCUGGGUCUAAUCAGAGCUGCUAUAUCUAUGGUUCUGGGUCUAAUCAGAGCUAUAUCUAUGGUUCUGGGUCGAAUCAGAAGUAGAUCUAUGGUUCUGGGUCUAAUCAGAGCUGCUGUAUCUAU